ACGAACGCUGGCGGCGUGCCUAAUACAUGCAAGUCGAACGGUCUUUCUAUGGAAGCUUGCUCCACUGAGAAGAUAGUGGCGAACGGGUGAGUAACACGUGGGUAACCUGCCCAUAAGAGGGGGAUAACAUCCGGAAACGGGUGCUAAUACCGCAUAGUUUUCUUGAUCGCAUGAUCGGGAAAGGAAAGACGGCCUUUGUGCUGUCGCUUAUGGAUGGACCCGCGGCGUAUUAGUUAGUUGGUGAGGUAACGGCUCACCAAGACGAUGAUACGUAGCCGACCUGAGAGGGUGAUCGGCCACAUUGGGACUGAGACACGGCCCAAACUCCUACGGGAGGCAGCAGUAGGGAAUCUUCCGCAAUGGACGAAAGUCUGACGGAGCAACGCCGCGUGAGUGAAGAAAGGUUUUCGGAUCGUAAAACUCUGUUGUCAGAGAAGAACAAGUUGGAGAGUAACUGCUCCAGCCUUGACGGUAUCUGACCAGAAAGCCACGGCUAACUACGUGCCAGCCGCUGC
rnacentral:rRNA from 1 species